rnacentral:rRNA from 1 species
UAAGUUAUUAAGGGCACACGGUGGAUGCCUUGGCAUUAAGAGCCGAUGAAGGACGUGUGAAUCUGCGAUAAGCCUCGGGGAGCCGAUAACUGGGCGUUGAUCCGAGGAUUUCCGAAUGGGGAAACCUGGCUCAUCUUCAUGGUGAGUUACCGCCAGCUGAAUGUAUAGGCUGGUUGGGGGGAACGCGGGGAAGUGAAACAUCUCAGUACCCGCAGGAAGAGAAAAUAAAGUAAUGAUUCUGUGAGUAGUGGCGAGCGAAAGCGGAAGAGACUAAACCUGUGGUGUGUGAUAGCGGUUAGGCGUUGCAUCAUGGGGGUUGUGGGAGUCACAGUGGCAGUUCUAACUGGCUGCCGGCAUGAUGUUCAGGAUGGUAGGUGAACGACUUGGAAUGGUCGGCCGUAGAGGGUGAGAGUCCCGUAAUCGAAAUUGUUCUGUCCGUGGUGUGGCCACCCGAGUAGCACGGGGCUCGUGGAAUCUCGUGUGAAUCUGCCAGGACCACCUGGUAAGUCUAAAUACUUCUUAGUGACCGAUAGUGAAUCAGUACCGUGAGGGAAUGGUGAAAAGUACCCCGGGAGGGGAGUGAAAUAGUACCUGAAACCGUGUGCUUACAAGCCGUUGGAGCCUUUUGGGGUGACAGCGUGCCUUUUGAAGAAUGAGCCUGCGAGUUAGUGUUAUGUCGCGAGGUUAACCCGUGUGGGGUAUCCGUAGCGAAAGCGAGUCUGAAUAGGGCGUUUGAGUGGCAUGACCUAGACCCGAAGCGGAGUGAUCUAUCCAUGGCCAGGUUGAAGCGACGGUAAGACGUCGUGGAGGACCGAACCCACUUCAGUUGAAAAUGGAGGGGAUGAGCUGUGGAUAGGGGUGAAAGGCCAAUCAAACUCUGUGAUAGCUGGUUCUCCCCGAAAUGCAUUUAGGUGCAGCGUUACGUGUUUCUUGCCGGAGGUAGAGCUACUGGAUGGCCGAUGGGCCUUCACGGGUUACUGACGUCAGCUAAACUCCGAAUGCCGGUAAGUGAGAGCGUAGCAGUGAGACAGUGGGGGAUAAGCUUCAUUGUCGAGAGGGAAACAGCCCAGACCACCAACUAAGGCCCCUAAGCGUGUGCUAAGUGGGAAAGGAUGUGGAGUUGCUUAGACAACCAGGAGGUUGGCUUAGAAGCAGCCAUCCUUGAAAGAGUGCGUAACAGCUCACUGGUCAAGUGAUUCUGCGCCGAUAAUGUAGCGGGGCUCAAGUACACCGCCGAAGUUGUGGCAAUGAUCUUUUUGGAUUGUUGGGUAGGGGAGCGUCGUGUGGCCGGUGAAGCUGCGGUGUAAACCAGUGGUGGAGGCUAUGCGAGUGAGAAUGCAGGCAUGAGUAGCGAAAGAUGAGUGAGAAACUCAUCCGCCGGAUGAUCAAGGGUUCCAGGGUCAAGUUAAUCUGCCCUGGGUUAGUCGGGGCCUAAGGCGAGGCCGACAGGCGUAGUCGAUGGAUAACGGGUUGAUAUUCCCGUACCGGUGAAAAACCGCCCAUACUGAUAUUGUGAUGCUAACCAUGCGAAGCAUGAUGUGCAGGCUUUUGUUUGUGUGUUGUGUGGGUUGUGGGACCCGAUCUUUGGAGGUAAACGUGUUAACAGGUGUGACGCAGGAAGGUAGCCAAGCCACGCGAUGGUUGUCGUGGUCUAAGCGUGUAGGGUUGUCGGUUGUUAAAUGCGCCGGCUGUGUGCCUGAGACGUGAUGGGACCCUGUUUUUGGGGGAUUUGGUGAUCCUAUGCUGCCGAGAAAAGCAUCGGCGUGAGGUUUUAGCCGCCCGUACCCUAAACCGACACAGGUGAUCAGGUAGAGAAUACUAAGGCGAUCGAGAGAAUCAUGGUUAAGGAACUCGGCAAAAUGCCCCCGUAACUUCGGGAGAA